rnacentral:rRNA from 2 species
UUGCACCUUAUCUUAGGCGGCGGCCUUUUGAGUAAUGCUUAGGAAUCUGCCUAUUAGUGGGGGACACCCUUCCAAAAGGAAUGCUAAUACCGCAUACGUCCUACGGGAGAAAGCAGGGGAUCUUCGGACCUUGCGCUAAUAGAUGAGCCUAAGUCGGAUUAGCUAGUUGGUGGGGUAAAGGCCUACCAAGGCGACGAUCUGUAGCGGGUCUGAGAGGAUGAUCCGCCACACUGGGACUGAGACACGGCCCAGACUCCUACGGGAGGCAGCAGUGGGGAAUAUUGGACAAUGGGGGGAACCCUGAUCCAGCCAUGCCGCGUGUGUGAAGAAGGCCUUAUGGUUGUAAAGCACUUUAAGCGAGGAGGAGGCUACUGAGAUUAAUACUCUUGGAUAGUGGACGUUACUCGCAGAAUAAGCACCGGCUAACUCUGUGCCAGCAGCCGCGGUAAUACAGAGGGUGCGAGCGUUAAUCGGAUUUACUGGGCGUAAAGCGUGCGUAGGCGGCUUUUUAAGUCGGAUGUGAAAUCCCCGAGCUUAACUUGGGAAUUGCAUUCGAUACUGGGAAGCUAGAGUAUGGGAGAGGAUGGUAGAAUUCCAGGUGUAGCGGUGAAAUGCGUAGAGAUCUGGAGGAAUACCGAUGGCGAAGGCAGCCAUCUGGCCUAAUACUGACGCUGAGGUACGAAAGCAUGGGGAGGAAACAGGAUUAGAUACCCUGGUAGUCCAUGCCGUAAUUUAAGGGGACUAGCCGUUGGGGCCUUUGAGGC